rnacentral:lncRNA from 1 species
UGUGGUAUGUGUACUAUUGUUUGUCUGUUUGUCCUUUUCAUUUUUAGCCAUGGCGUUAUUAGUUUAUUGUCGAUUUAUGAGUUUGACUGUGACUCUGGAAUCUUUCGUCCCUCUUUCAUUUACCAUUUAUCAACCUCUUCCGUAAGCCAGUUUUACAAAUGUUGUGAAUUGUCAAUCAUAACAUGUAUAUAACUGUAACAGUUGUCCUCUGCUCACUACGGGGAGGUGGA